rnacentral:tRNA from 1 species
GGAUUGUAGCUCAGUGGUAGAGCGCGUGCCUAGCAGUGCGAGAGCUGGGUUCGAUCUUCAGCACCA